rnacentral:rRNA from 1 species
AGAGUUUGAUCCUGGCUCAGAGCGAACGCUGGCGGCAGGCCUAACACAUGCAAGUCGAACGAACUCUUCGGAGUUAGUGGCGGACGGGUGAGUAACACGUGGGAACGUGCCUUUAGGUUCGGAAUAACUCAGGGAAACUUGUGCUAAUACCGAAUGUGCCCUUCGGGGGAAAGAUUUAUCGCCUUUAGAGCGGCCCGCGUCUGAUUAGCUAGUUGGUGAGGUAAAGGCUCACCAAGGCGACGAUCAGUAGCUGGUCUGAGAGGAUGAUCAGCCACAUUGGGACUGAGACACGGCCCAAACUCCUACGGGAGGCAGCAGUGGGGAAUCUUGCGCAAUGGGCGAAAGCCUGACGCAGCCAUGCCGCGUGAAUGAUGAAGGUCUUAGGAUUGUAAAAUUCUUUCACCGGGGACGAUAAUGACGGUACCCGGAGAAGAAGCCCCGGCUAACUUCGUGCCAGCAGCCGCGGUAAUACGAAGGGGGCUAGCGUUGCUCGGAAUUACUGGGCGUAAAGGGAGCGUAGGCGGACAUUUAAGUCAGGGGUGAAAUCCCGGGGCCCAACCUCGGAAUUGCCUUUGAUACUGGGUGUCUUGAGUAUGAGAGAGGUGUGUGGAACUCCGAGUGUAGAGGUGGAAUUCGUAGAUAUUCGGAAGAACACCAGUGGCGAAGGCGACACACUGGCUCAUUACUGACGCUGAGGCUCGAAAGCGUGGGGAGCAAACAGGAUUAGAUACCCUGGUAGUCC